UAAGUUGCUGGGGGAAACGCUUGCUUCGUGUUAACGCGCGGGCAAGAGGAACUUCCGGACUCCUUGAAGCAGCAGUGUCGUUAACGGCGACCUGGGGUGACCCAGAGAAAGUGCCACAGAGACUAUACCGCCGAACUUCGGUAAGGGUGAAAAGAGUGGGGUAAGAGCCCACAACACGCGCGGUGACGUGACGUGGAAGGUAAACCUACUGCGGAGCAACUUUAAGCAGAUGCGAUAGCAGCUUCACUUUAGCAUCGGGUAAAAGGCUCGAGGCGCUGAGUAAUUGGCGUCCUAGAUAAAUGUUUCCUGCCUGAAAGGGUACAAAAUCCGGGGUACAAGGCAACUUAUCAU
rnacentral:RNase_P_RNA from 1 species